CAGUUUUUGAGAUCUAAAUGAAGUUCGAAAAUCGCCGUUAGGGGCGCUUGUGAUGAUUGGGAUACUAGAAAUACACAGCUUCUUAUGGCAAGAAUAACUAUUUUGUUAUAAAUUAUAGAGCCAAGUUAAUAUUUGGGCAUAUUUUUACCAGAGUUAGCUUUUAGAAACGUGGUUUUUCUAAUUGAGCAAUGUGCGUGGCUAAAAUUGUGAAUACAAAACCUUAAAUUUGAGUUUGAAAAUGCAUACACGACCGAAGAAACAUAUAAGCUGCUAAAAUAAAUCUUCCCUAGAACUGUUGUACAAAAAAGAUAGAAGUUCCAGCAACAAAUUUAUCACCAGUUCAACCUUUGAUUUGAUGUAAACAGUAAUUGUUUCUUGAUGAGAAAUGCGAAUGAAAUAGUUUAUGGUGUGAUUGUGUUAGUGUUUUAUUAAUAGUUUUGUUGAUGCAGUUUAAAGGUUCAUAGUUUUUCAUUAAAACAUUUGAAAUUGACAUGUUUACAUGCAGUUUAGUGUGAUACCAUUUUAAUAAACAUUAAAAUCUUUCGAACUAGUAGUGGUUUUAUGGCGAUUGACAGAUUGAAUAACGAAAAUUAAGAGUAUUUUAUCAGGAAUAACUUAAUCAUAAAUGGAAACUGAAGACGAACGUUACCAUUGCACCCUUUGAUCGGUGUUAUCUAUUCCAUAACUUUUUAUAGCUGAAACUAGAGAGUAGGUAUAUUGAGCUGAAACGUUUCCUGUGUUCAAUAGCGUUUUUUCUAGCGUUGAAUUGUAAGUUUUAAUGUCAUUAGCAAAGUUUUGCAAAUUGUCACUGUUUCGUAGACAAUUAAAUUCAAGAUAUAUUAUAUUCAAUGUCACCUAAUAAUUGUAAAGGUUUUUCUAUUGAUAUUCACUUUAUUAAUAUAAGGUAGGUUUGUAAAUAAAAUAUUAAUGAAUAAAUAAUGUACUCAGUUUAUUUCAAAAGCACAAAAAUACAGAGUUGUGAAUAUGUAUAUACGCUGACUUAUUUCAUCAUAUAAAUAUUUAUUUAGCAAUAUUAAUACAUUACAACUUUUGUUUCUAUUAACUAAUUCCACUAAAUUUAAUAAAUAAAAUAUACAAUAUAUAAAUUUAAUAUACAAUUUAGCACUUAGAUAUUAAAUAUCUAUAUGUACUAUGCCAAAAAAUAAAACAGGAACAUCAUAUUAUAUCAAGAACACAAAAAAUUACAAUUUAAAAAAAAUGCAUUCUAAAAAAAUACCUAGCUACAAUAUACCUACAUAUUAAUUUAAAGAGCUUAUUCAUAUUCAUAAAAACUAUUCUAAAUGGUUUAUAUACACAAUCAAAAGUAUCAACCACAAUACAAUAAUUUUCAAAUUAUUUCUUAUUAUUCCUCAA